rnacentral:rRNA from 1 species
UACAGAGGUCUCAAGCGUUGUUCGGAUCAUUGGGCGUAAAGGGUGCGUAGGUGGCGCUGUAAGUCGGGGUGUGAAAUUUCGGAGCUUAACUCCGAAACUGCAUUCGAUACUGCGGUGCUUGAGGACUGGAGAGGAGACUGGAAUUCAUGGUGUAGCAGGUGAAAUGCGUAGAGAUCAUGAGGAAGACCGUGGCGAAGGCGGAUCGUCGUGG